UACAGAGGUCCCAAGCGUUGUUCGGAUUCACUGGGCGUAAAGGGUGCGUAGGCGGCCGGGUAAGUCUGCUGUGAAAUCCCGCAGCUCAACUGCGGAACUGCAUUGGAUACUAUCCGGCUAGAGAUCGGGAGAGGAGAGUGGAAUUCCCAGUGUAGAGGUGAAAUUCGUAGAUAUUGGGAAGAACACCGGUGGCGAAGGCGGCUCUCUGGACCGAGACUGACGCUGAGGCGCGAAAGCGUGGGGAGCAAACAGG
rnacentral:rRNA from 1 species